rnacentral:rRNA from 1 species
CSSUAGAGUUUGWAUCAUGGCUCAGGACGAACGCUGGCGGCGUGCCUAAUACAUGCAAGUCGAGCGGACAGAAGGGAGCUUGCUCCCGGAUGUUAGCGGCGGACGGGUGAGUAACACGUGGGUAACCUGCCUGUAAGACUGGGAUAACUCCGGGAAACCGGAGCUAAUACCGGAUAGUUCCUUGAACCGCAUGGUUCAAGGAUGAAAGACGGUUUCGGCUGUCACUUACAGAUGGACCCGCGGCGCAUUAGCUAGUUGGUGGGGUAAUGGCUCACCAAGGCGACGAUGCGUAGCCGACCUGAGAGGGUGAUCGGCCACACUGGGACUGAGACACGGCCCAGACUCCUACGGGAGGCAGCAGUAGGGAAUCUUCCGCAAUGGACGAAAGUCUGACGGAGCAACGCCGCGUGAGUGAUGAAGGUUUUCGGAUCGUAAAGCUCUGUUGUUAGGGAAGAACAAGUGCGAGAGUAACUGCUCGCACCUUGACGGUACCUAACCAGAAAGCCACGGCUAACUACGUGCCAGCAGCCGCGGUAAUACGUAGGUGGCAAGCGUUGUCCGGAAUUAUUGGGCGUAAAGGGCUCGCAGGCGGUUUCUUAAGUCUGAUGUGAAAGCCCCCGGCUCAACCGGGGAGGGUCAUUGGAAACUGGGAAACUUGAGUGCAGAAGAGGAGAGUGGAAUUCCACGUGUAGCGGUGAAAUGCGUAGAGAUGUGGAGGAACACCAGUGGCGAAGGCGACUCUCUGGUCUGUAACUGACGCUGAGGAGCGAAAGCGUGGGGAGCGAACAGGAUUAGAUACCCUGGUAGUCCACGCCGUAAACGAUGAGUGCUAAGUGUUAGGGGGUUUCCGCCCCUUAGUGCUGCAGCUAACGCAUUAAGCAYUCCCGCCU